rnacentral:rRNA from 1 species
GACGAACCGUGCGAACGUUGUUCGGAAUCACUGGGCUUAAAGGGCGCGUAGGCGGGCUCGCAAGUCAGGGGUGAAAUCCCACGGCUCAACCGUGGAAGUGCCUUUGAUACUGCGGGCCUUGAGGGAGGUAGGGGCGUGCGGAACUUCCGGUGGAGCGGUGAAAUGCGUAGAUAUCGGAAGGAACACCGGUGGCGAAAGCAGCGCGCUGGACCUCUUCUGACGCUGAGGCGCGAAAGCCAGGGGAGCAAACGGG